rnacentral:rRNA from 1 species
UACGUAGGCAGCAAGCGUUGUUCGGAGUUACUGGGCGUAAAGGGUGCGUAGGCGGUUGUUUAAGUUUGGUGUGAAAUCUCCCGGCUCAACCGGGAGGGUGCGCCGAAUACUGAACGGCUAGAGUGCGGGAGAGGAGAGUGGAAUUCCUGGUGUAGCGGUGAAAUGCGUAGAUAUUGGGAGGAACACCAGUGGCGAAGGCGGCUCACUGGACCGGAACUGACGCUGAGGCGCGAAAGCGUGGGGAGCAAACAGG